rfam:Ictidomys tridecemlineatus contig076287, whole genome shotgun sequence.
GGGGUUGUGGCUCAGUGGUAGAGCCCUUGCCUAGCAUGCAUGAGGUACCAGGUUCGAUCCUCAGCACCA